rnacentral:rRNA from 1 species
UUUUCGCGCGCGGCUACACAUGCAGUCGAGCGGUAGAGAGAGCUUGCUUCUCUUGAGAGCGGCGGACGGGUGAGUAAUGCCUAGGAAUCUGCCUGGUAGUGGGGGAUAACGUUCGGAAACGGACGCUAAUACCGCAUACGUCCUACGGGAGAAAGCAGGGGACCUUCGGGCCUUGCGCUAUCAGAUGAGCCUAGGUCGGAUUAGCUAGUUGGUGGGGUAAUGGCUCACCAAGGCGACGAUCCGUAACUGGUCUGAGAGGAUGAUCAGUCACACUGGAACUGAGACACGGUCCAGACUCCUACGGGAGGCAGCAGUGGGGAAUAUUGGACAAUGGGCGAAAGCCUGAUCCAGCCAUGCCGCGUGUGUGAAGAAGGUCUUCGGAUUGUAAAGCACUUUAAGUUGGGAGGAAGGGCAGUAAAUUAAUACUUUGCUGUUUUGACGUUACCGACAGAAUAAGCACCGGCUAACUCUGUGCCAGCAGCCGCGGUAAUACAGAGGGUGCAAGCGUUAAUCGGAAUUACUGGGCGUAAAGCGCGCGUAGGUGGUUAGUUAAGUUGGAUGUGAAAUCCCCGGGCUCAACCUGGGAACUGCAUUCAAAACUGACUGACUAGAGUAUGGUAGAGGGUGGUGGAAUUUCCUGUGUAGCGGUGAAAUGCGUAGAUAUAGGAAGGAACACCAGUGGCGAAGGCGACCACCUGGACUGAUACUGACACUGAGGUGCGAAAGCGUGGGGAGCAAACAGGAUUAGAUACCCUGGUAGUCCACGCCGUAAACGAUGUCAACUAGCCGUUGGGAGCCUUGAGCUCUUAGUGGCGCAGCUAACGCAUUAAGUUGACCGCCUGGGGAGUACGGCCGCAAGGUUAAAACUCAAAUGAAUUGACGGGGGCCCGCACAAGCGGGGGAGCAUGUGGUUUAAUUCGAAGCAACGCGA